rnacentral:sRNA from 1 species
CCUGGGCGAUCUGUGGGCAGAUGAGAUGGACGUGGGCGUCGACGCCGCCGGCGGUGAGGAUCUUGCCGUUGCCCGCGAUGAUCUCGGUCUCCGGACCGAUGAUCAGCUCGGGAUGCACCCCGUCCAUGGUGUCGGGGUUGCCCGCCUUGCCGAGCGCGGUGAUCCGGCCGUCCCUGAUGCCCACGUCGGCCUUGCCGGUCCGGUCGUGGUCCAGGACGAUCACGCCGGUGAUCACCGUGUCGGGAGCGCCCUCGGCGCGGCUGACCCGGGACUGGCCCAUCGAUUCGCGGAUG